rnacentral:rRNA from 1 species
GAUGAACGCUAGCGAUAGGCUUAACACAUGCAAGUCGAGGGGCAGCACAAGGUAGCUUGCUAUCUGGGUGGCGACCGGCGCACGGGUGCGUAACGCGUAUGCAACUUGCCCUAUACAGGAGGAUAACCCGUCGAAAGACGGACUAAUACUGCGUAUGCUCACAACUUGGCAUCAAGUGGUGAGGAAAGAAAUUCGGUAUAGGAUAGGCAUGCGUCCCAUUAGCUUGUUGGUGAGGUAACGGCUCACCAAGGCAACGAUGGGUAGGGGAACUGAGAGGUUUAUCCCCCACACUGGUACUGAGACACGGACCAGACUACUACGGGAGGCAGCAGUGAGGAAUAUUGGUCAAUGGGCGCGAGCCUGAACCAGCCAAGUCGCGUGAAGGAUGACUGUCUUAUGGAUUGUAAACUUCUUUUAUACGGGAAUAACAAGAGUCACGUGUGACUCCCUGCAUGUACCGUAUGAAUAAGCAUCGGCUAACUCCGUG